rnacentral:rRNA from 1 species
AUACGGAGGAUGCAAGCGUUAUCCGGAUUUAUUGGGGUUAAAGGGUGCGUAGGCGGUUUGCUAAGCGGGAGGUGAAAUGCCGGCGCUCAACGGCGGAAGUGCCUCCCGAACUGGUGGACUGGAAUGACUCUGCCGUGGGAGGAAUGUGUAGUGUAGCGGGUAAAUGCUUAGAGAUUACACAGAACACCGAUUGCGAAGGCAUCUCACGAAGGGUUGAUUGACGCUGAGGCACGAAAGCGUGGGGAUCAAACAGGAUUAGAUACCCUGGUAGUCCACGCAGUAAACGAUGAUGGCUAACCGCUGGUUUAUUCGGAUCAGUGGCCAAGCGAAAGCGAUAAGCCAUCCACCUGGGGAGUACGACCGCAAGGUUGAAACUCAAAUGAAUUGACGGGG